GUUGAACGCUGGCGGAAUGCUUUACACAUGCAAGUCGAACGGUAACAGGCCGCAAGGUGCUGACGAGUGGCGAACGGGUGAGUAAUGUAUCGGAACGUGCCCAGUCGUGGGGGAUAACGCAGCGAAAGAUGUGCUAAUACCGCAUACGAUCGAUGGAUGAAAGCGGGGGACCGUAAGGCCUCGCGCGAUUGGAGCGGCCUAUAUCAGAUUAGGUAGCUGGUGGGGUAAAGGCUCACCAAGCCGACGAUCUGUCGCUGGUCUGAGAGGACGACCAGCCACACUGGGACUGAGACACGGCCCAGACUCCUACGGGAGGCAGCAGUGGGGAACUUUGGACAAUGGGCGCAAGCCUGAUCCAGCAAUGCCGCGUGCAGGACGAAGGCCUUCGGGUUGUAAACUGCCUUUGUACGGAGCGAAACGGCUCUCUCUAAUACAGGGGGCUAAUGACGGUACCGUAAGAAUAAGCACCGGCUAACUACGUGCCAGCCGCCGCGGUAA
rnacentral:rRNA from 1 species